GCGAACGGGUGAGUAACACGUGGGUGAUCUGCCCUGCACUUCGGGAUAAGCCUGGGAAACUGGGUCUAAUACCGGAUAGGACCGAGGACUGCAUGGUUUUCGGUGGAAAGUUUUUCGGUGCAGGAUGAGCCCGCGGCCUAUCAGCUUGUUGGUGGGGUAAUGGCCUACCAAGGCGACGACGGGUAGCCGGCCUGAGAGGGCGACCGGCCACACUGGGACUGAGACACGGCCCAGACUCCUACGGGAGGCAGCAGUGGGGAAUAUUGCACAAUGGGCGCAAGCCUGAUGCAGCGACGCCGCGUGAGGGAUGACGGCCUUCGGGUUGUAAACCUCUUUCACCCAUGACGAAGCGCAAGUGACGGUAGUGGGAGAAGAAGCACCGGCCAACUACGUGCCAGCAGCCGCGGUAAUACGUAGGGUGCGAGCGUUGUCCGGAAUUACUGGGCGUAAAGAGCUCGUAGGCGGUUUGUCGCGUCGUCUGUGAAAUCCCGCAGCUCAACUGCGGGCUUGCAGGCGAUACGGGCAGACUCGAGUACUGCAGGGGAGACUGGAAUUCCUGGUGUAGCGGUGAAAUGCGCAGAUAUCAGGAGGAACACCGGUGGCGAAGGCGGGUCUCUGGGCAGUAACUGACGCUGAGGAGCGAAAGCGUGGGUAGCGAACAGGAUUAGAUAC
rnacentral:rRNA from 1 species